ACACGGUCCAGACUCCUACGGGAGGCAGCAGUGGGGAAUAUUGGACAAUGGGCGCAAGCCUGAUCCAGCCAUACCGCGUGGGUGAAGAAGGCCUUCGGGUUGUAAAGCCCUUUUGUUGGGAAAGAAAAGCAGUCGAUUAAUACUCGGUUGUUCUGACGGUACCCAAAGAAUAAGCACCGGCUAACUUCGUGCCAGCAGCCGCGGUAAUACGAAGGGUGCAAGCGUUACUCGGAAUUACUGGGCGUAAAGCGUGCGUAGGUGGUUGUUUAAGUCUGUUGUGAAAGCCCUGGGCUCAACCUGGGAAUUGCAGUGGAUACUGGGCGACUAGAGUGUGGUAGAGGGUAGUGGAAUUCCCGGUGUAGCAGUGAAAUGCGUAGAGAUCGGGAGGAACAUCCAUGGCGAAGGCAGCUACCUGGACCAACACU
rnacentral:rRNA from 1 species